UACGUAGGGUGCAGGCGUUAAUCGGAAUUACUGGGCGUAAAGCGUGCGCAGGCGGUCUGCUAAGGGAGAUGUGAAAUCCCCGGGCUUAACCUGGGAACUGCGUUUCUAACUGGCAGGCUUGAGUGUGGCAGAGGGGGGUGGAAUUCCACGUGUAGCAGUGAAAUGCGUAGAGAUCCGGAAGAACACCGGUGGCGAAGGCGGCCUGCUGGGCAGUAGCUGACGCUGAAGCGCGACAGCGUGGGGAGCAAACAGG
rnacentral:rRNA from 1 species